CCUACGGGCGGCUGCAGUGGGGAAUAUUGCACAAUGGGCGCAAGCCUGAUGCAGCCAUGCCGCGUGUGUGAAGAAGGCCUUCGGGUUGUAAAGCACUUUCAGCGGGGAGGAAGGCGUUAAGGUUAAUAACCUUGGCGAUUGACGUUACCCGCAGAAGAAGCACCGGCUAACUCCGUGCCAGCAACCGCGGUAAUACGGAGGGUGCAAGCGUUAAUCGGAAUUACUGGGCGUAAAGCGCACGCAGGCGGUCUGUCAAGUCGGAUGUGAAAUCCCCGGGCUCAACCUGGGAACUGCAUUCGAAACUGGCAGGCUAGAGUCUUGUAGAGGGGGGUAGAAUUCCAGGUGUAGCGGUGAAAUGCGUAGAGAUCUGGAGGAAUACCGGUGGCGAAGGCGGCCCCCUGGACAAAGACUGACGCUCAGGUGCGAAAGCGUGGGGAGCAAACAGGAUUAGAUACCCCGGUAGUC
rnacentral:rRNA from 1 species